rnacentral:lncRNA from 1 species
GCCACGCCCACCCCGCCAGCUCUCACGCGUUUCCACACCUGGAUGAAGGACUUCACUCCAAUAUACAGCAGCAGUAAAUUAACCUACAAUUCCUGCAUAAAGAAGUUCAUAAACAGCAGCCUGUGGAUUUCAAAGGCUUCUGCCCUCUAAAAUCACAGGAGUGACCUCAGUUACAUCAUGGAAGGAACGUCAGGAUGUCACGUUCAGACCCCCGCAGAGGCCUGGACUCCACUCACACUGGAGGAACCACAACCGGCCUUCAUAGAGUGCUACUGGACCACUGCGGCCAUGAGACGGGGAAAUCUCUGCAUUAUAUACUGAGAACUGAAGAAAGAGGAGGAAAGCACAGCUGGAGUGGAAGCACCCACUACUGUUGUGCUGUAAAGAAACUCUUGGUCUGGGAAAAGGUGGAGGAUCUAACAAAUGAGUGGGUGAGUCUGAUUUUACCUCUGGUCUUUUAUUGCAACAGAUCCUGUCUGCAUAUU